AGAGGAAGUAAAAGAUUGAUACAUUUUUCUCUUUCAUGUAGAAUCUUUACAGAAAUUGAUUUGGGUCUGUGACCAGGGUAAUCAAAAAUACUUUCUUUCCUUUUUGGGUCCUGGGUUUAUAAGAAAAGUGAGAGAGCAUGAUCUUCAGUGUGUGCUGCACGAGCAGUGGUGUGGACCCAGAGUUCAGGCAUAGGCGAAGGACGGACACGGAUUUCACACUCCUGAUAGGAACAUGGACUUGGAGGUUGCUCGUGAAUCCCAGGACCUCCACCGCAUCUACAGGCAAGAGGGGCAUCCCCACCACCAGCUCUACCAGCACCACCUCUAACUGCAGGAAUUGCUCCUCCAAGUCCUUGGCCUCUACUAAAUGGUAUCCACUGCCUUUGCCUUUGUUGGGGGAUCGGUGAUCCAUAAUCACACCACCCGCUCUGAAUUAUGAAAUGGAAGUACAAAUAAAUGUAUAAACCUGCA